UACGAAGGGUGCAAGCGUUACUCGGAAUUACUGGGCGUAAAGCGUGCGUAGGUGGUUUGUUAAGUCUGAUGUGAAAGCCCUGGGCUCAACCUGGGAAUUGCAUUGGAUACUGGCAGGCUAGAGUGCGGUAGAGGGUAGUGGAAUUCCCGGUGUAGCAGUGAAAUGCGUAGAGAUCGGGAGGAACACCAGUGGCGAAGGCGACUACCUGGACCAGCACUGACACUGAGGCACGAAAGCGUGGGGAGCAAACAGGG
rnacentral:rRNA from 1 species